ensembl:lncRNA
CCGACACAUGCACACCAACCAACCAAUCCACAUGUGCCAACCAGCAUGCGCCAACCAACCAACCCCCACACGCGCCAGCCAACCCACACAUCAGCAUUCUUUCUGCUGUACCGGUGAUGAGGAGAACUCAGCUGAGGUAUGGAAGCUGCAUGCUGUAUGGGUACGCAUGCUGCUGCACUCGUUCCUGCUCUGCUGCUCUCUUCUUACUGCCGUUCUGUGUAUUACGAGGAAGAGAGGAGCAGAGAGAGACAAAGACAUUCAGGUAACGAGAGAACUUUUCACUUUAUGUCUUUAUCCUCAUCAAGCUCCACAUAAAGUUCCUAUAAAGCUGUUACUGGACUGUUACUAGAUGGAGCAACUUAAUUAAGACUAGCUACCUGUGUUUCAUAGAAGAUUACGUGUCCUCCUAACAGUGGCGUAGCUAAAGGGGUGAAUCUCAUGUCAGCACUGCCCAUUGUCACUGCCACCUCUCAUUUCGCCAGAACUGUACAGAUGUUUUAUUGUUGCCAGUUUUUACUUUUCUGUCUUGUAGCUUAGACAGAUCAGAUGUUAUUGGAGUUAUCACGAUAGAUGGCUGAUGUUGAAAUUUGCUCCAUAUCUGUGGUGAAGCGUUUGAAAGUUUUUUUCAGGGUGUGGCUUCUUGACUCAGUGAGAGAAGUACUCCAGAACUGGAGAAUGAGAACUAACAGUUGGUUAGUAACGGGUCAAGAAGGAUGUUCAGGAGCGUCUUCAAAACAGCAGUACAAACCGCUUUCCACAAUAUAGAGGACAAUCCUGGUCAUUUGAAAAAGUGGUAGAAAAGUUAAGUAGAAAGACACAAAUAACUAAAGGAUGAACAUCAUUCAUGGGCCUCAAAUAUAAAGGACAUGAAAUCCUCCAAAAUAGAUUAUGUUCAAUCUUUAAUUGCAACAUAAGCAAGAAUUUAAAUUUUUUUUUCAAAUGUAAAAGUCAGUAGAGAUCAAAAGACAUUGUGCAGAA